GGGGGAAUGGCUCAGUGAUAGGGCACUUGCCUUGCAUGCAGAAGGUCCCAGAUUCAAUCCUUGGCAUCUCCCU